rnacentral:rRNA from 1 species
AUGCCUAACACAUGCAAGUCGAACGAAGUUCUUGAACCUAGUGGCGGACGGGUGAGUAACGCGUGAGACUCUGCCUUCAGGACGGGGACAACAGUUGGAAACGACUGCUAAUACCGGAUAUGCCGCAAGGGGAAAAUAGUUCGCCUGAAGAGGAGCUCGCGUCUGAUUAGCUAGUUGGUGGGGUAAGAGCCUACCAAGGCGACGAUCAGUAGCUGGUCUGAGAGGAUGAGCAGCCACGCUGGGACUGAGACACGGCCCAGACUCCUACGGGAGGCAGCAGUGGGGAAUUUUCCGCAAUGGGCGAAAGCCUGACGGAGCAAUACCGCGUGAGGAAGGAAGGCUCUGGGGUGGUAAACUUCUUUUCUCAGGGAAGAAGACCUGACGGAACCUGAGGAAUAAGCUUCGGCUAACUCGGGGCCAGCGGCGGCGGUAUUAGGGAGGAUGCAAGCGUUAUCCGGAAUUAUUGGGCGUAAAGCGUCCGCAGGUGG